rnacentral:rRNA from 1 species
CAGCAACGGAUCUCUUGGCUCUCGCAUCGAUGAAGAACGCAGCGAAAUGCGAUAAGUAAUGUGAAUUGCAGAAUUCAGUGAAUCAUCGAAUCUUUGAACGCA